rnacentral:rRNA from 1 species
UCCGUAGGCGGUUUAAUAAGUCAGUGGUGAAAUCCCCGCGCUUAACGUGGGCAUUGCAUUUGAAACUAUGUAGCUAGAGUUCUGUAGAGGGGGGUAGAAUUCCAGGUGUAGCGGUGAAAUGCGUAGAGAUCUGGAGGAAUACCGAUUGCGAAGGCAGCCCCCUGGACAGUGACUGACGCUCAUAUGCGAAAGCGUGGGGAUCAAACAGGAUUAGAUACCCCAGUA